rnacentral:rRNA from 1 species
AGAGUUUGAUCCUGGCUCAGGAUGAACGCUAGCUACAGGCUUAACACAUGCAAGUCGAGGGGAAACGAUAUUGGAAGCUUGCUUCCGAUAGGCGUCGACCGGCGCACGGGUGUGUAACGCGUAUCCAACCUGCCCAUCACUUGGGGAUAACCUUGCGAAAGUAAGACUAAUACCCAAUGACGUCUCUAGAAGACAUUUGAAGGAGAUUAAAGAUUUAUCGGUGAUGGAUGGGGAUGCGUCAGAUUAGCUUGUUGGCGGGGUAACGGCCCACCAAGGCUACGAUCAGUAGGGGUUCUGAGAGGAAGGUCCCCCACAUUGGAACUGAGACACGGUCCAAACUCCUACGGGAGGCAGCAGUGAGGAAUAUUGGUCAAUGGACGAGAGUCUGAACCAGCCAAGUAGCGUGCAGGAUGACGGCCCUAUGGGUUGUAAACUGCUUUUGUAAGGGAAUAAAGUGAGCCUCGUGAGGCUUUUUGCAUGUACCUUAUGAAUAAGGACCGGCUAAUUCCGUGCCAGCAGCCGCGGUAAUACGGAAGGUCCGGGCGUUAUCCGGAUUUAUUGGGUUUAAAGGGCGUGUAGCCGGGAGGGCAAGUCAGAUGUGAAAUCCACGGGCUCAACUCGUGAACUGCAUUUGAAACUACUCUUCUUGAGUAUCGGAGAGGCAAUCGGAAUUCCUAGUGUAGCGGUGAAAUGCGUAGAUAUUAGGAGGAACACCAGUGGCGAAGGCGGAUUGCUGGACGACAACUGACGGUGAGGCGCGAAAGCGUGGGGAGCAAACAGGAUUAGAUACCCUGGUAGUCCACGCUGUAAACGAUGAAUACUAGGUGUGCGGGGACUGACCCCCUGCGUGCCGCAGCUAACGCAAUAAGUAUUCCACCUGGGGAGUACGAUCGCAAGGUUGAAACUCAAAGGAAUUGACGGGGGCCCGCACAAGCGGUGGAUUAUGUGGUUUAAUUCGAAGCAACGCGAAGAACCUUACCAGGGCUUGACAUCCUACUAACGAGAUAGAGAUAUGUUAGGUGCCCUUCGGGGAAAGUAGAGACAGGUGGUGCAUGGUUGUCGUCAGCUCGUGUCGUGAGAUGUUGGGUUAAGUCCCGCAACGAGCGCAACCCCUAUUGUUAGUUGCUACGCAAGAGCACUCUAGCGAGACUGCCGUUGACAAAUCGGAGGAAGGUGGGGACGACGUCAAAUCAUCAUGCCCCUUAUGUCCUGGGCUACACACGUAAUACAAUGGCGGUCAACAGAGGGAUGCAAAACCGUGAGGUGGAGCGAACCCCUAAAAGCCGUCCCAGUUCAGAUCGUGGGCUGCAACCCGCCCACGUGAAGUCGGAAUCGCUAGUAAUCGCGGAUCAGCAUGCCGCGGUGAAUACGUUCCCGGGCCUUGUACACACCGCCCGUCACACCAUGAGAGUCGGGAACACCCGAAGCCCGUAGCCUAACCGAAAGGAGGGCGCGGUCGAAGGUGGGCUCGAUAAUUGGGGUGAAGUCGUAACAAGGUA